UAUUCUCCAUGAUAGGAACAUGGACAUCAUGUUUGUUGCAAAAUAAAGUGACCUUUUCAAGGAAUUGACUCCAUCCACUGGACCUUAAUUCUUGCAUUCUAUCCUUUGCCACUCUAAUAAGUGAGACUGCAUUUAUAAUAUCUUGCUCCCUUCUUUGCAAGCACUCUGAUAAUUCAUUAGUGUAUCCCAAAAUGAUAAACAUCAAGUGUGCACUAAAAAUAUAAUCAAAUGACUCCAAUACUCCAACCAUAGUAUGUAUUUUUGGCCAAUCACUCUUUUGUGAAGUAUCAUUACCAAGAGAGAUGAGUACAUCACGUAUUGUGGGAUACAUACCAAUAAUGUUGACAACAGUUUUGUAGUGAGAUCCCCAACGAGUCUCGCCUGGCCUAGGCAAUCCCAUCUCUUGAUUUAAUCCACUUCCAGUUUGAAGUUCACCACAAUCAAUUGCUUUCAUGACAUUAUCAAGUCUUGCAUCUCGAAUCAUGCCAUGACGUUUACAAGAAACACCAACAAUAUUCAGCAAAAGAGACACUUGGUCAAAAAACCAAACACAGUCACUAUUCCCCUUGGCAACAGCAACAAGAACUAAUUGAAGUUGAUGAGCAAAACAAUGAAUAUAAUAAGCAGAUGGUGACUCUUGCAUGAUCAAUGUUUUGAGCCCUUUAACCUCUCCCUUCAUGUUGCUAGCACCAUCGUAACCUUGCCCACGAAUUUGAGUCAUAGUCAAACCAUUCAUUACAAGUAAAUCCUCAAUUGCUUUCUUAAGUGACAAAGAAGUAGUAUUAUCUACAUGAACAACUCCAAGAAAAUGCUCACAUGGUCUACCUAAUUUAUCAACAAAACGCAAGCAAAGAGCAAGUUGUUCUCUAUGUGAUAUGUCACUAGACUCAUCAGCUAGAAUUGCAUAGGGCUCAUCACCAAUUCCUUCAACAAUUUUCUUCCUAGUUUCUAGGGCACAACACUGAAUAAUUUGUUUCUGUAUCUCAGGACUGGUUAAAGUGCAAUUACCUGGAGCAUUUUUCAAGACAUGCUUAUUCACUUCUUCACUAUUUUCUGCAAGAAAUUUCAGAAGUUCAAGAAAAUUCCCUCUGUUGCUAGAUUCUUCACUUUCAUCAUGUCCACGAAAUGCCAACCCUUGAUGCAAAAGAAACUUCAAACAUCUAAGUGAAUAAGUCAAUCUGAUCUUAUAGAGAUAAAGAUCAUCAUCACUCCAUUUGUCAAUACGAUUAUCAAUUGCAACAUUGGGAUUAACAAAGCCAUUGUAUCUCUCUUGAGCUGCAGCGUGUGCCUUAGAACCUUCAUGUUUAAGAAGUGCUUUGUCUCCUAUAUUCCAAUUUCUCCAACCACUUGUAGUAAAUGUAUCUGCCCCACUGCCUUUCUUAAACAAGUAGCAUACAAGACAAAACACAGCAUCCUUUUUGACACUAUAUUCAAGCCAAUGAUAAUUAUAAAACCAUACCACAUUAAAGUGACGAUCUCUAUCUCCGAUCUUCCUUUUUGGAAAAUCAUGCCCAUAACAUUUGAAUGGACCUUUAAGUAUAUAUGUUCUUCGAAUUGAAUCUUGAUCAUUAACAUGAUAACUUUGAAUGGGUUGCCUUUCACCUGGAUCAAGUUGGAGACGAUUGAUGUCAUAGCCUGAAGGUGGUGCUGGUGUGAAUAACACUGAUCGGAUAGACGGUUGUUCUUCAAUUUGUCGCUCUUGAGGUUGCUCUUCUGUCUCAGCUGCAGCUGGACAUGGGGAAGGAGAUGGCGUAGCAACACUAGCAAGAGCCUUCUUUGCUGCAUGUUUCUGGAAAAGAGAAGCGAUAUCUCCUGUCCUCUUCAUAAUUUAUCUCAUUAACUGUAUAGGAAUACCAACUUAUUAAGGAUAAUUUAUUGUUGUAAUAAAUUGCGAUUGUGUAUGAACUGAAGUUACUGAACUAAUUUAUAUUCAACAAAAAAUAUUGGGUAACAAUAUAUGUAGAACAAUCAAUGAACCCAUGAUAAAUAAUCCAACAUCUAAGUGAAAUAUAGAAAAAACAAUUUAAGUAUGUCCCUAUAGACUGCAAAGUACAACAAAAUAAAUAAAACAAUCACAUUGUGCUUAUGCCUUACCUCCUAGGACUGCACAAAGCGUUGUUCGUCUACCCAGCAAGCAACACUGAAUGGGGUACAAGUCUGCCUACAGGCUACAUCGUCAAGCACCAACAAAAACUUGAGUUGAUUAGCACUAGGCCACCAGCACGUUCUCCAAUAAUGCAAUUUUUAAAUCUUAAUCUAGAGUUGAUUAGCAGUUUAGCACCAGCACACUCACCGUCAAGUUUAAAUGGCUGCCGACCUGCCGUCCGUGCCUCUGGCUCUUGG
rnacentral:lncRNA from 1 species